rnacentral:rRNA from 1 species
UUAAGCGACUAAGCGUACACGGUGGAUGCCCUGGCAGUCAGAGGCGAUGAAGGACGUGCUAAUCUGCGAUAAGCGUCGGUAAGGUGAUAUGAACCGUUAUAACCGGCGAUUUCCGAAUGGGGAAACCCAGUGUGAUUCGUCACACUAUCAUUAACUGAAUCCAUAGGUUAAUGAGGCGAACCGGGGGAACUGAAACAUCUAAGUACCCCGAGGAAAAGAAAUCAACCGAGAUUCCCCCAGUAGCGGCGAGCGAACGGGGAGCAGCCCAGAGCCUGAAUCAGUGUGUGUGUUAGUGGAAGCGUCUGGAAAGGCGCGCGAUACAGGGUGACAGCCCCGUACACAAAAAUGCACAUGCUGUGAGCUCGAUGAGUAGGGCGGGACACGUGGUAUCCUGUCUGAAUAUGGGGGGACCAUCCUCCAAGGCUAAAUACUCCUGACUGACCGAUAGUGAACCAGUACCGUGAGGGAAAGGCGAAAAGAACCCCGGCGAGGGGAGUGAAAAAGAACCUGAAACCGUGUACGUACAAGCAGUGGGAGCACGCUUAGGCGUGUGACUGCGUACCUUUUGUAUAAUGGGUCAGCGACUUAUAUUCUGUAGCAAGGUUAACCGAAUAGGGGAGCCGAAGGGAAACCGAGUCUUAACUGGGCGUUAAGUUGCAGGGUAUAGACCCGAAACCCGGUGAUCUAGCCAUGGGCAGGUUGAAGGUUGGGUAACACUAACUGGAGGACCGAACCGACUAAUGUUGAAAAAUUAGCGGAUGACUUGUGGCUGGGGGUGAAAGGCCAAUCAAACCGGGAGAUAGCUGGUUCUCCCCGAAAGCUAUUUAGGUAGCGCCUCGUGAAUUCAUCUCCGGGGGUAGAGCACUGUUUCGGCAAGGGGGUCAUCCCGACUUACCAACCCGAUGCAAACUGCGAAUACCGGAGAAUGUUAUCACGGGAGACACACGGCGGGUGCUAACGUCCGUCGUGAAGAGGGAAACAACCCAGACCGCCAGCUAAGGUCCCAAAGUCAUGGUUAAGUGGGAAACGAUGUGGGAAGGCCCAGACAGCCAGGAUGUUGGCUUAGAAGCAGCCAUCAUUUAAAGAAAGCGUAAUAGCUCACUGGUCGAGUCGGCCUGCGCGGAAGAUGUAACGGGGCUAAACCAUGCACCGAAGCUGCGGCAGCGACGCUGAUGCGUUGUUGGGUAGGGGAGCGUUCUGUAAGCCUGUGAAGGUGUGCUGUGAGGCAUGCUGGAGGUAUCAGAAGUGCGAAUGCUGACAUAAGUAACGAUAAAGCGGGUGAAAAGCCCGCUCGCCGGAAGACCAAGGGUUCCUGUCCAACGUUAAUCGGGGCAGGGUGAGUCGACCCCUAAGGCGAGGCCGAAAGGCGUAGUCGAUGGGAAACAGGUUAAUAUUCCUGUACUUGGUGUUACUGCGAAGGGGGGACGGAGAAGGCUAUGUUGGCCGGGCGACGGUUGUCCCGGUUUAAGCGUGUAGGCUGGUUUUCCAGGCAAAUCCGGAAAAUCAAGGCUGAGGCGUGAUGACGAGGCACUACGGUGCUGAAGCAACAAAUGCCCUGCUUCCAGGAAAAGCCUCUAAGCAUCAGGUAACAUCAAAUCGUACCCCAAACCGACACAGGUGGUCAGGUAGAGAAUACCAAGGCGCUUGAGAGAACUCGGGUGAAGGAACUAGGCAAAAUGGUGCCGUAACUUCGGGAGAAGGCACGCUGAUAUGUAGGUGAGGUCCCUCGCGGAUGGAGCUGAAAUCAGUCGAAGAUACCAGCUGGCUGCAACUGUUUAUUAAAAACACAGCACUGUGCAAACACGAAAGUGGACGUAUACGGUGUGACGCCUGCCCGGUGCCGGAAGGUUAAUUGAUGGGGUCAGCGCAAGCGAAGCUCUUGAUCGAAGCCCCGGUAAACGGCGGCCGUAACUAUAACGGUCCUAAGGUAGCGAAAUUCCUUGUCGGGUAAGUUCCGACCUGCACGAAUGGCGUAAUGAUGGCCAGGCUGUCUCCACCCGAGACUCAGUGAAAUUGAACUCGCUGUGAAGAUGCAGUGUACCCGCGGCAAGACGGAAAGACCCCGUGAACCUUUACUAUAGCUUGACACUGAACAUUGAGCCUUGAUGUGUAGGAUAGGUGGGAGGCUUUGAAGUGUGGACGCCAGUCUGCAUGGAGCCGACCUUGAAAUACCACCCUUUAAUGUUUGAUGUUCUAACGUUGACCCGUAAUCCGGGUUGCGGACAGUGUCUGGUGGGUAGUUUGACUGGGGCGGUCUCCUCCUAAAGAGUAACGGAGGAGCACGAAGGUUGGCUAAUCCUGGUCGGACAUCAGGAGGUUAGUGCAAUGGCAUAAGCCAGCUUGACUGCGAGCGUGACGGCGCGAGCAGGUGCGAAAGCAGGUCAUAGUGAUCCGGUGGUUCUGAAUGGAAGGGCCAUCGCUCAACGGAUAAAAGGUACUCCGGGGAUAACAGGCUGAUACCGCCCAAGAGUUCAUAUCGACGGCGGUGUUUGGCACCUCGAUGUCGGCUCAUCACAUCCUGGGGCUGAAGUAGGUCCCAAGGGUAUGGCUGUUCGCCAUUUAAAGUGGUACGCGAGCUGGGUUUAGAACGUCGUGAGACAGUUCGGUCCCUAUCUGCCGUGGGCGCUGGAGAACUGAGGGGGGCUGCUCCUAGUACGAGAGGACCGGAGUGGACGCAUCACUGGUGUUCGGGUUGUCAUGCCAAUGGCACUGCCCGGUAGCUAAAUGCGGAAGAGAUAAGUGCUGAAAGCAUCUAAGCACGAAACUUGCCCCGAGAUGAGUUCUCCCUGACUCCUUGAGAGUCCUGAAGGAACGUUGAAGACGACGACGUUGAUAGGCCGGGUGUGUAAGCGCAGCGAUGCGUUGAGCUAACCGGUACUAAUGAACCGUGAGGCUUAACCUU